GACGAACGCUGGCGGCGUGCUUAACACAUGCAAGUCGAACGGUAAGGCCCUUCGGGGUACACGAGUGGCGAACGGGUGAGUAACACGUGGGUGAUCUGCCCUGCACUUCGGGAUAAGCCUGGGAAACUGGGUCUAAUACCGGAUAGGACCCUGGGAUGCAUGUCCUGGGGUGGAAAGCUUUUGCGGUGUGGGAUGGGCCCGCGGCCUAUCAGCUUGUUGGUGGGGUGAUGGCCUACCAAGGCGACGACGGGUAGCCGGCCUGAGAGGGUGACCGGUCACACUGGGACUGAGAUACGGCCCAGACUCCUACGGGAGGCAGCAGUGGGGAAUAUUGCACAAUGAGCGCAAGCCUGAUGCAGCGACGCCGCGUGAGGGAUGACGGCCUUCGGGUUGUAAACCUCUUUCAGCUAUGACGAAGCGCAAGUGACGGUAGUAGCAGAAGAAGGACCGGCCAACUACGUGCCAGCCGCCGCGGUAA
rnacentral:rRNA from 1 species